rnacentral:lncRNA from 10 species
CAUAGUUUGUUUCUUAGGAGAGAAAAAAACUUUUGCAGGAUGUAGAGAAAAUGAAAAAGCACGGUUUUCAUUGUUAUCUACUCCAAGAUUGUUAUCCACUCUUUAAAUGAAAAGAAAUCUACAAUGCCUUGUGGAUUUACAGGAACAAGGAGGUUUGGCUAUCGUUACAUGAGAGAACGUUACCCAAGGACAAAGAAGUUUCACAGACUUCCCCUGGACCCUUGUUGGUGCCCAGAUGUCUGCGGUUCCCUGUCACUUAAAUAUAAAAGACAAGGCAAAGCUCGCAUAAUUCUAAGAUGGUUCUUUAGGACAUUGGUCUGCUUCUUCUUGGUUUCCUGGCUCCCCAAAAUAAAGUCGCUUUCCUUCCUCCACCUCCUUGUCUCUUGACUUAUUGACGUGAUGUGGCAAGAAGAACAAGUUUGGACUCAGUCACAAUCCAUCCCACACUUCCUCUUCUCCUUCCCUGCUUCCUUUGUCCCCAUGGCAUUUACCACCUUCUAGUGCAUUAAUUUUGUCACGGUGAUUAUUUAUGAUCCGU